ensembl:lncRNA
AGUGUAGAAUAGAGGAAGGAGUGUCAUCCUCUUAUUGGAAACACGAAGUUCUCACACUUAUGGGAGUGUCACAACAUUUUUUCAACCCCAAGAGCUGUCUUUUUUAACUUCACCCUGUUUUGAUACUGCGUUGCUGUUUUAUUUUCGUUACCUGUUAAUUCGAGACAGUUGAAAAAGGAAGCACACGUCGACCAGCACUGAGAUUUAUUUCACGUGGAGCUUUUUGGAUGAAGUUAAGAGCGGUGAAAGAGCCGCGAAUCAAGGAUGUCUUCAGGCGCAUCACGCGCGACGACAUCAGGAUGCUUUACAAGCACAGCAAGCACCUGAGUGGACGAUACAAGAAGUCCGCACAUCACUUUGUCUGGCUCCUCUGUCUUUGGGUUCACCUCCUGCCUCAAGUGGAUGGCUUCUUUAUGUCUGACACUAAGGCUGUCCUGCAAGGGUGUGAUGACCACUGGACUUUCCAGGAGCAGGGGCGUAUGCCUGUGCUCUUUCAAACUACGUUAUGUGUGGACAUACAGGUCCUUUCCCCAGGCGAGUGGACAGCAUUUACCUAUGUCUCAGCACCUGCACCCCGCUAUGAACUCGCCCUGCAAGGGGAUGCAAACAGCCUGUACGCCUGGCUGUUGGGUGUACGGCACCAGUUCACUGUCCAGCUGACCAUUCGUCACUGGUACCACAUAUGUCUACGGUGGGAUGCCCCUCGUAAAAGCUUCAGCCUGACGAUAGGUGGUAACUCAGAAGUAUACCAGCGGACCGCCAUUGCCCGAGCAAUCCCUCCUUCAGGGCGUCUUCUGCUGGGAUGCCAACCAAAUGAAGCCUCCCUUGUGGCGAAAAUGGCCACCGUGGAGCUCUACCUGUUUCGCAUAUGGGACGAUGUUGGAGAGCACAGGGCCUGUGAGGACGGGACAGUGAUUGGCUGGGACUCACGACUUUGGGCCAUCACACGAGCCCAGGCUAGAGUCCAAGAUUAUACGUUGCAAUGUGGUCUAAGGCAUCUGCGUAUGAAACGCAGUGCAGACAAAACUACAGCCCCAUACACAUCCCAAGGUUCUGCCAGCACCCGAGAGUUUGUCUCGACAUCUAGUCCACUCUACUUGAUGUUGACUUCAAUAAUUACCGGUUCACAGAAAAUCACCACCCAACAAGGUCAAGGACAGAACUUUCAAUCUUCGAGUCUGGUUGUAAACAUACCCUCUGCUUCAACUUCACAAGCCAGAACCACAUCAGAUCCUGCAGGACUCGCCACAACAAUUUCUGAAACUUCAAUGACUCUUAGUGCACCAACACAAAUUCCCCUCACAUCAACUAUCACAUUAAGCGCUAUUACACCCACUAUUCAAGCUGGUUCAGCUGUUAAUAACACAACUACUGUGUCAAAUGCAAGUGGAUUAAACAGGUUACCUUCAACUCCAGCCUCAUCUACAUCUUACAUAACUACUAAAACUACACAGAGCACUUCAAUAUCUGCCCAGACACUUUCAAGCAAUCAUGUUAGCCAUCCAAUUGGUACUUUUGAAACAACAGUCAAUCAUACGACAGCAAGCUCUUCUGCUGCACCAACUGUCGUGGCUCAAGUAACCAAUCAGACAGCGGUUCUACGAACAAUGACGUCCAAUGCAUUAUUCACAGAGCCAUUUGCAGUACAGUGUAACUUUUCCCAGUACUGCGCUAAUGAAUCAUCAUACUACUGGAUGCUUGUGGAGGUGAAUGGCUCUAAUGUGACAGAGGGAGAGAUUCAGAUUUGGUUUUUAGAUCUUUUUAAUAAAAGCACCUGUUCUGCUGGAGUUUCAACAACAGGAAUCAAUACAACAUCGUGCCAAACUCACAUAGUCUUUGUGGUAAGUAUCAUUUGUUUUCAAAGAACAGGUCAGGGCUGAACUUUGAUGUUGUCCAACACUGCAUCCUUAUAAAAUGUAUUUUUCAUUAAUAUAGACUGCUGAGGUUAGAUGUGAAGCCAAGCAGAACAUCCAGUAAGUCAAAUCUAAAUCUCUAAGCUACACAAGUAUGAUUUCAUUGUAAUUCAACAUCAAGUAACACUGCUACUGUAAUUAUUACAGAAAAACAAACUGCACUGUGCUGCUACAGCUGAGCCAACCUGUUAAUAUGUGCAUCCUCCGAAGGCUGGUGCAAAACGGGACUGUAAACCCAUCAAUCCAGAUCCAGCUUCUGGGAGAUGUAGAAAGAGUGGGUGAGUGUGACAAACACAAAUAAAUAUGGGCUUGAUUAAGUAACUCA